rnacentral:rRNA from 1 species
ACUACAGAAAAUGACUGAGCGGCGAACGGGUGAGUAACGCGUGAGCAACCUACCUUAGUUACUGGGAUAGCCCGAGGAAACUCGGAUUAAUACCGGAUAUUCUUAUUUAAUCACAUGAUUUUUUAAGGAAAGGUCAGCCGAACUAAGAUGGGCUCGCGUUCUAUCAGCUAGUUGGUAGGGUAAUGGCCUACCAAGGCUACGACGGAUAGCUGGUCUGAGAGGACGAUCAGCCACACUGGGACUGAGACACGGCCCAGACUCCUACGGGAGGCUGCAGCAGGGAAUAUUGCGCAAUGAGCGAAAGCUUGACGCAGCGACACCGCGUGUGGGAUGACGGAUCUAGGUUUGUAAACCACUUUCAGGAGGGAAGAAAAUGACGGUACCUCCACAAGA